AUUGAACGCUGGCGGCAUGCCUUACACAUGCAAGUCGAACGGCAGCACGGGAGCAAUCCUGGUGGCGAGUGGCGAACGGGUGAGUAAUAUAUCGGAACGUGCCCAGUCGUGGGGGAUAACGUAGCGAAAGCUACGCUAAUACCGCAUACGAUCUACGGAUGAAAGCGGGGGAUCGCAAGACCUCGCGCGAUUGGAGCGGCCGAUAUCAGAUUAGGUAGUUGGUGAGGUAAAGGCUCACCAAGCCGACGAUCUGUAGCUGGUCUGAGAGGACGACCAGCCACACUGGGACUGAGACACGGCCCAGACUCCUACGGAGGCAGCAGUGGGGAAUUUUCCGCAAUGGGCGAAAGCCUGACGGAGCAAUACCGCGUGAGGGAAGAAAGCCUACUGGGUUGUAAACCUC
rnacentral:rRNA from 1 species